UACGAAGGGUGCAAGCGUUACUCGGAAUUACUGGGCGUAAAGCGUGCGUAGGUGGUUUGUUAAGUCUGAUGUGAAAGCCCUGGGCUCAACCUGGGAACGGCAUUGGAAACUGGCUUACUAGAGUGCGGUAGAGGGGUGUGGAAUUCCCGGUGUAGCAGUGAAAUGCGUAGAUAUCGGGAGGAACAUCUGUGGCGAAAGCGACUUCCUGGACCAGUACCGACGUUCAGGCACGAAAGCGUGGGGAGCAAACAGG
rnacentral:rRNA from 1 species